rnacentral:rRNA from 1 species
UGGGGAAUAUUGGACAAUGGGCGAAAGCCUGAUCCAGCCAUGCCGGGUGUGUGAAGAAGGUCUUCGGAUUGUAAAGCACUUUAAGUUGGGAGGAAGGGCAUUAACCUAAUACGUUAGUGUUUUGACGUUACCGACAGAAUAAGCACCGGCUAACUCUGUGCCAGCAGCCGCGGUAAUACAGAGGGUGCAAGCGUUAAUCGGAAUUACUGGGCGUAAAGCGCGCGUAGGUGGUUUGUUAAGUUGGAUGUGAAAUCCCCGGGCUCAACCUGGGAACUGCAUUCAAAACUGACUGACUAGAGUAUGGUAGAGGGUGGUGGAAUUUCCUGUGUAGCGGUGAAAUGCGUAGAUAUAGGAAGGAACACCAGUGGCGAAGGCGACCACCUGGACUAAUACUGACACUGAGGUGCGAAAGCGUGGGGAGCAAACA